GAUCACAUGACUGUGACAUCAUCACAGGUCCUGUAGCCACAGAACAACUGCACUGCUUCUCUACAGCUGGAGGUUCCUACAAUAUAAAAUCAUCUCUAGUGCUAUCUUCUAUAUAAGAAAACUUUCUUUACUGACCCAUCAAGGAUGUAUAGGAACAGAGACAAGAUGGUCGAAGGAAUAAUAAAUCUCACCCUAGAGAUACUCUUCCAACUUACUGGAGAGGAUUACAUAUUAGUGAAGAAGACUUCUAGUGAGCGCUGUCAGACCCAUGUGUCCGAAGAAUGGAACCCAAUCAAAGGGCCUCCCCCUCACCCCUUGAUUCUUGAGCAGAAGAUCCUAGAACUCACCCAAAAGAUGAUUGAGCUGCUGACUGGAGAGGUUCCUAUAAGGUGUCAGGAUGUCACUGUCCAUUUCUCCAUGGAGGAGUGG